UACGUAGGGUGCGAGCGUUAAUCGGAAUUACUGGGCGUAAAGCGUGCGCAGGCGGUUUUGCAAGCCGGAUGUGAAAUCCCCGGGCUCAACCUGGGAAUGGCAUUUGGGACUGCAAGGCUCGAGUGCGGCAGAGGAGACUGGAAUUCCUGGUGUAGCAGUGAAAUGCGCAGAUAUCAGGAGGAACACCGGUGGCGAAGGCGGGACUCUGGGCCGAUACUGACGCUGAGGAGCGAAAGCGUGGGGAGCAAACAGG
rnacentral:rRNA from 1 species